UGGAAAAAAAGGCAAAGUCUAGGUCUAUAGGACUUUGUAAUCAAGAUAAGGAAUCAGAAUUUAUUUCACGUAUAGAGAGAAGUCAAUGAUAGACUUUAAGUAGGGAGUGCAAGUAUUUGAUAUAUAUUUUUAGAUGACUCUGGCUACAUGAUUUUUGUGGAGAGCUGUCAUGUGCUAAAGCAGAAAAUCAAAUGGAAUGGCAGGCAACACAUGAUGGAGAGAAAUGGAUGGAUUCUCCUUAUGUUUUUGGAUACAGACGAGAACAUUUACUGAUGACGUGGAUGUGGUGGGAGAAAGCAAGAAUAAUCAAAGAUAAUCCCCAGAUUUUUUGACUUGAACAGAUGAGUUGGUGGACGGGUGAUGUUUUGGUUUGAUGGUAUGAGGAAAACUGCAGAGCAGGACUAGAUGGGGAGGCAGAAAGCUGUAGUUGUUAAGUUUAAGGUGAUGUAUCAUAUAUGCUUUACACAUAUUUAUUAAAUGAAUGAGUAAAAGGUCUUUUAUACAAAAGUUUUGGCUUCAAAUAACAUCUAGUUUAAUUUUGUUUGGAAAAAUUAAAUCUAUCCUCAAACAUUAGAGAGCUAUUCAUAGGCGAGGCCACAAAAGUUAAAAAAUCAUAUCUGGGAAAAUAACAUAAUAGGGAAGGAAAGGAUUUUAAGAGUUCAUCUAAUGAAAUCUUCAUUCAUUUUUCCAGAUAAUGAAACAAGGGUCGAUGGAGAUAAAUGAUUUCUCUGUGGAAAUUACCAAAGAUUGGUAUCAACGUUUGUUCAAACAAAUUUACACCAGAAGGGUAAGAAGAGCCAUGAACGGGUGAAGGAGAAAGUUGUAUAUAAGUGACAGCAAGAAGAAGGGAUAAGAAUUUCUCAAUGUAAAGGAGGAACCAAGAAGAGGAAUAAUUGAGGAUCACCAUUCAAGAAACUCAGUGCUGCAUUUCCGUAUUGAGAGUUCUAAAGUGAAAUAUUGAUGGAUUUCAUUCUUAGUCAUUGCCUGUGUCACUUGGAGCACCAUACUUGAAAGUCUUGAGUACUGUUUAUUUCACUUUAAAAC
rnacentral:lncRNA from 1 species